rnacentral:rRNA from 1 species
GACGAACGCUGGCGGCGUGCUUAACACAUGCAAGUCGAACGGAAAGGCCCUGCUUUUGUGGGGUGCUCGAGUGGCGAACGGGUGAGUAACACGUGAGUAACCUGCCCUUGACUUUGGGAUAACUUCAGGAGACUGGGGCUAAUACCGGAUAGGAGCUCCUGCUGCAUGGUGGGGGUUGGAAAGUUUCGGCGGUUGGGGAUGGACUCGCGGCUUAUCAGCUUGUUGGGGGGGUAGUGGCUUACCCAGGCUUUGACGGGUAGCCGGCCUGUGAGGGUGACCGGCCACAUGGGGACUGAGAGACGGCGCAGACUCCAACGGGAGGCAGCAGUGGGGAAUAUUGCACAAUGGGCGGAAGCCUGAUGCAGCAACGCCGCGUGCGGGAUGACGGCCUUCGGGUUGUAAACCGCUUUCGCCUGUGACGAAGCGUGAGUGACGGUAAUGGGUAAAGAAGCACCGGCUAACUACGUG